rnacentral:rRNA from 1 species
ACGAACGCUGGCGGCGUGCUUAACACAUGCAAGUCGAACGCUGAGGCUUGGUGCUUGCACUGGGUGGAUGAGUGGCGAACGGGUGAGUAAUACGUGAGUAACCUGCCCUUGACUCUGGGAUAAGCCUGGGAAACUGGGUCUAAUACUGGAUACGACAUGUCACCGCAUGGUGGUGUGUGGAAAGGGUUUUACUGGUUUUGGAUGGGCUCACGGCCUAUCAGCUUGUUGGUGGGGUAAUGGCUCACCAAGGCGACGACGGGUAGCCGGCCUGAGAGGGUGACCGGCCACACUGGGACUGAGACACGGCCCAGACUCCUACGGGAGGCAGCAGUGGGGAAUAUUGCACAAUGGGCGGAAGCCUGAUGCAGCGACGCCGCGUGAGGGAUGACGGCCUUCGGGUUGUAAACCUCUUUCAGCACGGAAGAAGCGAAAGUGACGGUACGUGCAGAAGAAGCGCCGGCUAACUACGUG